GUAGGUGAACCUGCGGAAGGAUCAUUAACACGUACUUAUAUCCAAUAUAAACCCAAACGCGAACCAUCAAACUCCCAACCUUUACAGGUUGGCUAACCUCGUGUUCUAUUAUAUUAUGUAAUAGUUAACACGUUUACCCAUAUUUUUACCCCAAUACAACACACACAUCUAUCAGCCUUCUCUAUACAACUGGUUUGUGUAUGGAACUGAACCUUACUUCUGAGCCAGAGAAUUCAUUCUUUUGACUCUUUUGAUUCCUUAAUGGAAGCAAUAAUACAAUAGUGUAAAACACAACUCUUAGCAAUGGAUAUCUAGGUUCUC
rnacentral:misc_RNA from 1 species